AGNAUUAAGNAAAUCUAUAAAAUAGAAAAUUUUCUGUUAAAAUUAGUAAUAACGGACCCCCCCCCUCUACAAUGCAAGUGUGUUAGGAUAAACCUAUAAUUAACAAUAAAUAUUCUUUAUAACAAGAAAUUAAAUAUCACANAAUGUCAACCCAACACAGGAGCACUUAAGAAAGAUUAAAAGUUUGAAAAGGAACUCGGCAAAAACGUCGCCUGUUUANCAAAAACANCGCCUCCUGCUAAAUUAAUAUAAGAGGUACUGCCUGCCCGGUGACACCUGUUUAACGGCCGCGGUAUA
rnacentral:rRNA from 1 species